rnacentral:rRNA from 1 species
GGGUUGUGAGGUUAAGCGACUAAGCGUACACGGUGGAUGCCCUGGCAGUCAGAGGCGAUGAAGGACGUGCUAAUCUGCGAUAAGCGUCGGUAAGGUGAUAUGAACCGUUAUAACCGGCGAUUUCCGAAUGGGGAAACCCAGUGUGAUUCGUCACACUAUCAUUAACUGAAUC